rnacentral:tRNA from 1 species
GUCUGCGUAGAUUAGAGAUUUAUUAAAUUAUAAAGCUGUUAACUUUAAGAGGGUAUUUGGCCCGUGGACG